GAUCCUGGUUCAGAACGAACGCUGGCGGCAGGCUUAACACAUGCAAGUUGAACGGGAUUUGUAUGGUGCUUGCACCAUGUAAUGAGAGUAGCGCACUGGUGAGUAACACGUGGGAACAUACCUUGAAGUGGGGGACAACAGUUGGAAACGACUGCUAAUACCGCAUAAUCCCUGAGGGGGAAAGAUUUAUCGCUUUAAGAUUGGCCCGCGGAAAGAUUAGGUAGUUGGUGGGGUAAAGGCCUACCAAGCCGACGAU
rnacentral:rRNA from 1 species